rnacentral:rRNA from 1 species
GAUGAACGCUGGCGGCGUGCUUAACACAUGCAAGUCGAACGGAAAGGCCCAAGCUUUCUUGGGUACUCGAGUGGCGAACGGGUGAGUAACACGUGGGUGAUCUGCCCUUCACUUCGGGAUAAGCCUGGGAAACUGGGUCUAAUACUGGAUAGGACCACUUCCUGCAUGUUGUGGUGGAAAGUUUUUGGGGUGUGGGAUGAGCUCUCGGCCUAUCAGCUUGUUGGGGGGGUAAUGGCCUACCAAGGCGUGGGCGGGUAGCCGGGCUGGGAGGGUGUACGGCCAAAAUGGGACUGAGAUACGGCCCAGACUCCUACGGGGGGGAGCAGGGGGGAAUAAUGCAAAAGGGGCGCGAGCCUGAUGCAGCGACGCCGCGGGGGGGAUGACGGGCUUCGGGUUGUAAACUCCUUUCGGUAGGGACGGAGCGUUUUGUGACGGUACCUGGAGAAGAAGCACCGGCUAACUACGUG